GUAUAAGUUUAUUAUAGGCACAAAGGCCCGUUUAUAACAUUCUAUAACAUACUUGGGGUAUAUGAAAAACAUAAACCUGAAAAAUGUAAGGAAAGAAAAAGAUCAAUCCUCAAACCUGAAUGCCAGGCAUUCAGAAAGAUAUUCAGAUUUACAAAGGUGCACAGGUGGAGAUAUAAAGAUGACAAGUGUGCACAUGCUCCCGAGAGAACCAGCAACAACCUAUCAGGUUUAUUUCAAUAAUGAUCCUUCCGCAGGUUCACCUACGGAAA
rnacentral:misc_RNA from 1 species